rnacentral:rRNA from 1 species
CCUACGGGAGGCAGCAGUGAGGAAUAUUGGUCAAUGGACGAGAGUCUGAACCAGCCAAGUAGCGUGAAGGAUGACUGCCCUAUGGGUUGUAAACUUCUUUUAUAAAGGAAUAAAACGAGGCACGUGUGCCUUUUUGCAUGUACUUUAUGAAUAAGGAUCGGCUAACUCCGUGCCAGCAGCCGCGGUAAUACGGAGGAUCCGAGCGUUAUCCGGAUUUAUUGGGUUUAAAGGGAGCGUAGAUGGGUUGUUAAGUCAGUUGUGAAAGUUUGCGGCUCAACCGUAAAAUUGCAAUUGAUACUGGCAGUCGUGAGUACAGUUGAGGUAGGCGGAAUUCGUGGUGUAGCGGUGAAAUGCUUAGAUAUCACGAAGAACCCCGAUUGCGAAGGCAGCUUACUAAACUGUGACUGACAUUGAUGCGCGAAAGUGUGGGUAUCAAACAGGAUUAGAUACCCUUGUAGUC